ACCACAGAGGGUGAGAGUCCCGUAGACGAAAGAGAAGACUGACAGCGGGUAUCCAGAGUACCGCCGGACACGUGAAACCCGGUGGGAAGACGGGUGGACCACCAUCCAAGCCUAAAUACUACCUGAUGACCGAUAGAGGAGCAGUACCGUGAGGGAAAGGUGAAAAGAACCCCGGGAGGGGAGUGAAAGAGCACCUGAAACCUUGUGCUUACAAGCAGUCAGAGCACGUUAAAGUGUGAUGGCGUACCUUUUGUAGAAUGGUCCGGCGAGUUAUAGUAACUGGCGAGCUUAAGGUAUUCAGUACCGGAGGCGAAGGGAAACCGAGUGUUAAUAGCGCGUAUGAAGUCAGUUGCCAUAGACCUGAAACCGGGUGACCUAUCCAUGGGCAGGCUGAAGGUGAGGUAAAACUCACUGGAGGGCCGAACCGACGUCUGUUGCAAUAGCCGCGGAUGACCUGUGGAUAGCGGAGAAAUUCCAAUCGAACUCGGAGAUAGCUGGUUCUCCCCGAAAUAGCUUUAGGGCUAGCGUUGCAUUAGAUUACCGGAGGUAGAGCACUGAAUUGGCUAGGGGGCGAUGAGCUUACUGAACCUUAUCAAACUUCGAAUGCCGGAUAAUUGAUGUGCAGCAGUCAGACAGUGUGAGAUAAGUUUCAUUGUCGAGAGGGAAACAGCCCAGACCCACAGCUAAGGUCCCAAAUAUAUGCUAAGUGGAAAACGAUGUGGGGUUGCGAAAACAACCAGGACGUUGGCUUAGAGGCAGCCACUCAUUGAAAGAGUGCGUAAUAGCUCACUGGUCGAGUGACCCUGCGCGGAAAAUAUAACGGGGCUAAGCAUAUAACCGAAGCUUGGGAUGUCUUUUAGACAUGGUAGGGGAGCGUCGUAUACGGGGUGAAGUACGAGCGGAAGCACGUGUGGACUGUAUACGAGUGAGAAUGCCGGAAUGAGUAGCGAGAAUUAUGUGGGAAUCAUAAUGGCCGAAAAUCUAAGGUUUCUUGGGGAAGGUUCGUCCGCCCAAGGUAAGUCGGGAGCUAAGGCGAGGCCUGACGGCGUAGUCGAUGCACACACGGUUGAAAUUCCGUGACCACCGAAAGAUUUAAGCGAGCUGACACAUGGAGAUAGCCGGACCCCGGCGUUGGUCGACCGGGGCGAAAGGGACCGAACAUCAGUAGGGAAGCCGGCGAUGCUCUGUGGCGAGAAAAGGCUCGAGGUACAUCUGAGGUGCCCGUACCGCAAACCGACACAGGUAGAUGAGGAGAGAAUCCUAAGGCCAGCGGGAGAAGGGUUGUUAAGGAACUCGGCAAAUUGACCCCGUAACUUCGGGAAAAGGGGAGCCUGCUACGGCAGGCCGCAGAGAAUAGGCCCAAGCGACUGUUUACCAAAAACACAGGUCUCUGCUAAAUCGAAAGAUGACGUAUAGGGGCUGACGCCUGCCCGGUGCCGGAAGGUUAAGAGGAGGGCUUAGCGCAAGCGAAGGUCUGAAUUGAAGCCCCGGUAAACGGCGGCCGUAACUAUAACGGUCCUAAGGUAGCGAAAUUCCUUGUCAGGUAAGUUCUGACCCGCACGAAUGGCGUAACGAUUUGGGCACUGUCUCAACAGCCCGCCCGGCGAAAUUGUUGUACUGGUGAAGAAGCCAGUUACCCGCAACUAGACGGAAAGACCCCAUGGAGCUUUACUGCAGCUUAAUACUGAAGAUUGGUAAUGCAUGUACAGGAUAGGUGGGAGCCUGAGAAACAGGGGCGUCAGCUUCUGCGGAGGCAGCCUUGGAAUACCACCCUUGUAUUGCUGGUUUUCUAACCUGCGGCCGUGAAUCCGG
rnacentral:rRNA from 1 species